GCCUCUGUAGAUUAGUGGCAGAUCGCCUCAGAAACAUGGCAUUGGCGGUGUGUUGUUCUUGAGGAGCCGUGGGUUCAACUCCCACCAGAGACA